rnacentral:rRNA from 1 species
AUGCAAGUCGAACGAAGUAGCAAUACUUAGUGGCAGACGGGUGAGUAACAUGUAGGUAUCUGCCCUUUGGCCUGGAAUAACACGAGGAAACUUGUGCUAAUACCGGAUAAGUCUUCACGGAGAAAGCUUUAUGCACCAUUGGAUGAGCCUGCACUUGAUUAGUUUGUUGGUGGGGUAAUGGCCUACCAAGACUGUGAUCAAUAACUGAUUUGAGAGGAUGAUCAGCCACAUUGGGACUGAGACACGGCCCAAACUCCUACGGGAGGCAGCAGUGGGGAAUCUUGCACAAUGGAGGAAACUCUGAUGCAGCGAUGCCGCGUGAGUGAAGAAGGCCCUUGGGUUGUAAAGCUCUUUCGUCGGGGAAGAAAAUGACUGUACCCGAAUAAAAAGGUCCGGCUAACUUCGUGCCAGCAGCCGCGGUAAUACGAAGGGACCUAGCGUAGUUCGGAAUUACUGGGCUUAAAGAGUUCGUAGGCUGUUGAAAAAGUUGGUGGUGAAAUCCCAGAGCUUAACUCUGGAACUGCCAUCAAAACUUUUCAGCUAGAGUAUGAUAGAGGAAAGUAGAAUUUCUAGUGUAGAGGUGAAUUUCGUAGAUAUUAGAAAGAAUACAAAUUGCGAGGGCAGCUUUCUGGAUCAUUACUGACGCUGAGGACCGAAA